rnacentral:rRNA from 1 species
AUUGAACGCUGGCGGCAUGCUUUACACAUGCAAGUCGAACGGCAGCACGGACUUCGGUCUGGUGGCGAGUGGCGAACGGGUGAGUAAUACAUCGGAACGUGCCCAGUUGUGGGGGAUAACUACUCGACAGAGUAGCUAAUACCGCAUGAGAACUGAGGUUGACAGCAGGGGAUCGCAAGACCUUGCGCAACUGGAGCGGCCUAUGGCAGAUUAGGUAGUUGGUCGGAUAAAAGCUUACCAAGCCGACGAUCGGUAGCUGGUCGAAGAGGACAACCAGCCACACUGGGACUAAGACGCGGCCCAGACUCCUACGGGAGGCAGCAGUGGGGAAUUUUGGACAAGGGGCGAAAGCCUGAUCCAGCAAUGCCGCGUGCAGAAUGAAGGCCUUCGGGUUGUAAACUGCUUUUGUACGGAACGAAAAGCUUCGGGUUAAUACCCUGGAGUCAUGACGGUACCGCAAGAAUAAGCACCGACUAACUACGUGCCAGCAGCCGCCGUAACAC